GACGAACGCUGGCGGCGUGCUUAACACAUGCAAGUCGAACGAUGUGGCGAACGGGUGAGUAAUACGUGGGUAACCUUCCCUCCUUUUCGGGAUAAGCCUUGGAAACGCGUUCUAAUACCGACUACAGGGUGAUGGGCUCGGGGCCUAUCAGCUUGUUGGUGGGGUGAUGGCCUAACAGGGCGGAGACGGGUAGCCGGCCUGAGAGGGUGAACGGCCACAUUGGGACUGAGAUACGGCCCAGAGUACGACGGGAGGGAGAAGUUGGGGAUAUUGGACAAUGGGCGAAAGACUGAUGCAGCGAGGCCGCGGGGGGGAUGAAGGUUUUCGGGUUGUAAACCUCUGUCGGUAUAGAACGGGUAGGUGGAGAGGAAGCGCCGGCUAACUACGUGCCAGCAGCCGCGGUAAUUC
rnacentral:rRNA from 1 species